rnacentral:rRNA from 1 species
AUAAGAGCCAUUAGCUCAGUUGGUAGAGCAUCUGACUUUUAAUCAGAGGGUCAGAGGUUCGAAUCCUCUAUGGCUCACUCUUAACAUCUUUCUUCGGGAAGAUGUUUUUUUGUAUUGUUUUAUGUAAGCGAAUACAUUAUUCUAUAAAUAACACGAUAAAAAGAGGUGGAUAUAUAAAUGAAAAAUAUAGAUAUUAUUGGGGUGCCUUCGACAUUUGGACAAAGAAAAUUAGGAGUGAAUUUAGGUCCAGAUGCUAUAAGAUAUGCAGGAUUACAAGAUAGACUCGAAAAUAUAGGUAUUAACGUUCAAGAUAAAGGAAAUAUAGACGUACCAGCUAUAGAUUUGAAAAAGUUUAAUUCUGAGCAACAAGGCUUGAGAAAUUAUGAUGAAAUUAUUAAUGUCUCAAAGACGCUAAGUCAAAAAGUAGAUCAGACGAUAAUAAAUGAUAGAUUCCCAUUGGUUUUAGGCGGUGAUCAUUCUAUAGCAGUGGGGUCAAUAUCUGGUAUUUGUAAACACUAUGAAAAUCUUGGUGUGAUUUGGUAUGAUGCUCAUGGUGACUUGAAUAUACCAGAAGAGUCACCUUCAGGUAAUAUUCACGGCAUGCCAUUAAGAAUAUUGUUAGGUGAAGGUCCAAGUGAUCUUGUUAAUUUAAAUGACAUUCAACCAAAACUUAAACCUGAAAAUAUUGUUUUAAUAGGUAUGAGAGAUUUAGAUAAAGGUGAACGUGAGUAUAUCAAAGCACAAAAUAUUAAAACUUAUACAAUGGCAGAUAUAGAUAAACUUGGUAUUGAAACAGUUAUUAAUGAUUCAUUAAGUUAUUUGAAAUCAAGAAAUGUUGAUGGAUUACAUUUAUCCCUAGAUGUAGAUGCCUUAGAUCCAACUGAAACACCGGGAACAGGUACAAGAGUAUUAGGUGGAUUGAGCUAUAGGGAAAGCCAUUUUGCUUUAGAAUUACUUCAUGAAAGUAAUAUGAUUACAUCUAUGGAUUUAGUUGAAGUAAAUCCAUUAAUUGAUUUACAUAAUAGUACCGCUGAACAAGCAGUUUCAUUACUUGGAACGUUCUUCGGAGAAACAUUAUUAUAAAAUAAUUAUUGCAACUUGCAUGUGUUUUGACAUGCAAGUUUUUUUCAUUUUUCUUACCGUUCAUAUGACACGUGUUCUAAUGAUUGAUAUAAUGAAUGAUAUGGAAAAUGUUAUCGGAGGAGAUGUUAUGGAUUUUUCCAAUUUUUUUCAAAAUUUUAGUACAUUGAAAGUCAUAACUAGUGUCCUCGAUUUAUUGAUUGUAUGGUAUGUCCUUUACCUACUUAUUACAGUUUUUAAAGGAACUAAAGCAAUACAAUUAUUAAAAGGUAUUGUUGUUAUAGUAAUCGGUCAACAAAUCAGUAAAAUGCUAAAUUUGACUGCGACUUCUAAAUUGUUCGAUAUCGUAAUUCAGUGGGGUGUACUUGCUUUAAUAGUUAUUUUCCAACCUGAAAUUCGAAGAGCGUUNGGGUUCGAUUCCCUUCAACCGCCCCAUAAUCGUAUUACAUUUCACAUGCGGGUGUAGUUUAAUGGCAAAACCUCAGCCUUCCAAGCUGAUGUUGUGGGUUCGAUUCCCAUCACCCGCUCCAUUAUUAUUCCACAGUAGCUCAGUGGUAGAGCUAUCGGCUGUUAACCGAUCGGUCGUAGGUUCGAGUCCUACCUGUGGAGCCAUGGCUCCUUGGUCAAGCGGUUAAGACACCGCCCUUUCACGGCGGUAACACGGGUUCGAGUCCCGUAGGAGUCAUACAAACAGAAGUGAAAUAUCGCUUCUGUUUUUUUAUUUAUCAUAUUAUGAUGGAGAGUUGUCCGAGCUGGCCGAAGGAGCACGCCUGGAAAGUGUGUAGGCGCCAACAAGCGUCUCGAGGGUUCGAAUCCCUCACUCUCCGUAAAAACGCCUAGAAUGGUUUUAAUCCAUUCUAGGCUUAUUUUUGUUUUCUUUUAAAUUAGGCAUUAAUUUGAGGAUAAAAGAAUUUAAAUGAAAGUCUAAAUUCUAAUAAAAGUGAGUAAAGUUGCCCAAUCAAAAAUUGAAGACCAUAAAGAAAGACAACCACACAACGUUAAAAAAAGAAAUAAAACAUUAGCAUUAUAUCUUGAGAAAUAAAAUAAAAAUGUUAUAAUAUAUAUAAGUCAACGACAGUGCGUGGACUAUUAAAACGAAAUACAUUGAACACAGUAGCCAGCCAACUAUGAGGCNAUAGGCGAAGCGUGCUAUUGGAUUGCACGUCCAAGCAGUAAGACUGAGUGUUAGGCAAAUCCGGCACUCAUAAGGUCAAGCUGUGAUGGGGAGAGGAAAUUGUUUCCUCGAGUCGUUGAUUUCACACUGCCAAGAAAAGCCUCUAGAUAGAUAACAGGUGCCCGUACCGCAAACCGACACAGGUAGUCAAGAUGAGAAUUCUAAGGUGAGCGAGCGAACUCUCGUUAAGGAACUCGGCAAAAUGACCCCGUAACUUCGGGAGAAGGGGUGCUCUUUAGGGUUAAC